rnacentral:rRNA from 1 species
UAACUAGGAUUAGAUACCCUAUUAUUAAGAAAAAUUAUAUUGUUAGUAUAUAAAUUGUAUGAAAACAAAAAAUUAUGGCGGUAUUUUAAGCUUUUCAGAGGAAUUUGCUCUUUAAUGGAUAAAACACCUAAAUCUUACUAAAUUUAGUUAAACAGUUUGUAUACCACUAUUUAAGUAAUAAUUUGCUAUUAUUACUAAAAUUUAUAUUAAUUAAAAAAAGUUAAGUCAAGGUGCAGCAUAAAUUUUAGUAUGAAGUGAAUUACAUUUCUUUUAAGAAAAAUUUGUUGAAAAUAAAAUUUAGGAUU